CUCUGUUGAAUUUUGGUAUACACACAUUCAACACUUCUCGUCGUACUAUCCAAUCCAAUCACUGCACCGUGAUGGAAUAAUCAGAGAAUGGCAAUUGGCAUUCUAGAUCCCUCCUUGGUAAGAUCGGUCUUUUAUUCCUUAAAGUUGCUUGAGCAUUCGGCUACUUCUUUCUUUUUGUAUCCAGCUAGUAAGUUGUUCUUUCUUGAUGUCAAUUGUCAAACCUCUGUUUUACUUUGCCCUACUUCUUGGCUUUUGUUAUGCUUUUACUAUCUUUUACUCUGCUCUCAAUAUUUAUUCUUUAGUUACAUUCCUUGUGUUUCUUUUGUCCUUCCUCUUUACAGCUACCGGUUGAAGAAGGUUGGUGUUUAAGUGAACUGCCUCUUCCCUCCAUUGUUUAUUAUGUAUGCGUACCACUGAAAAUAACUUAGCUACAUAAUCUAGACUUUGAUUUUACCUCUUUUUUUCUUUCUUUCUUUCUUUCAGCUGAUGGAGUUUGCACAAGGAAAGAUAGUGCUGGCUGGCGUUAGAGGGAGGGUACAAUAUUGAGUCAUUGCCAAAGUCUUAACUCGCAUUUCUCCCAAGUUUUGCUUUAGGACAACUCAAAUUCAGUUUUCUCCUGUAACAUACUCACUAGAAUCCUACACAGGUGGUACGCAAGAGACAUUUCGCAUUGACAAUAUCAGAGAUGAAAUGUGGUGAGAAGACAGAGAUUAGGAGAGCAUCCCAAGUAGAAGAUAAGUGUUAUGUCAAGUUUGUUUGUGUGUUGAUCGGUUAUUCAUGUUAAGUAGAAGAAGACAUAACACUUGGUGAACCAACUUGUUUGAGUAUAUGCAAAACUUGUUUGCGGUAUGGUAUUACAUACAUAAUUUUUCAAAAAAAUCUGAUAAAGCUGUAAAUAGAACCUUGUUAAAUACUUUUUUUCUCAAUGGUUUAAA